CCUACGGGAGGCAGCAGUAGGGAAUUUUCCGCAAUGGGCGAAAGCCUGACGGAGCAAUACCGCGUGAGGGAUGACGGCCUGUGGGUUGUAAACCUCUUUUCUCAAGGAAGAAGUUCUGACGGUACUUGAGGAAUAAGCAUCGGCUAACUCUGUGCCAGCAGCCGCGGUAAUACAGAGGAUGCAAGCGUUAUCCGGAAUCACUGGGCAUAAAGCGUCUGUAGGUUGUUUAGUAAGUCUGCUGUUAAAGACUGGGGCUUAACCCCAGAAAAGCAGUGGAAACUGCUAGACUCGAGUGUGGUAGAGGUAGAGGGAAUUCCUAGUGUAGCGGUGAAAUGCGUAGAUAUUAGGAAGAACACCAAUGGCGAAGGCACUCUACUGGGCCAUAACUGACACUGAGAGACGACAGCUAGGGGAGCAAACGGGAUUAGAUACCCCGGUAGUCCUAGCCGUAAACGAUGGAUACUAGAUGUUGCACGUAUUAACCCGUGCAGUAUCGUAGCUAAGGCGUUAAGUAUCCCGCCUGGGAAGUACGCUCGCAGAGAGAACACAAGAAGUAGACGCGUGAGACGUGCCGACGGACGACGACGAGGGAGGUAGG
rnacentral:rRNA from 1 species